rnacentral:tRNA from 1 species
AUAAAGUAAGCUAAUACAAGCUAGUGGGUUCAUACCCCAAAUAUGAAUACAUUUCCUUUAUU